ACGGCGAUAGCUCAGUGGUUAGAGCAUUACCCUGGCAAGGUAAAGGUCGCGUGUUCGAUUCUCGCUCGUCAAA
rnacentral:tRNA from 1 species